rfam:Glossina brevipalpis unplaced genomic scaffold Scaffold104, whole genome shotgun sequence.
AUUAAGCUCCCACCAUACGAUGCGCAAUAAUUGCAACCAGCCUCCGCGAAGUAAUACCUAGCGGUGGUCCCGCGGGGUAGAGUGGUAAAUGAGGUGUGUGUCGGGGGUAGGUUUAGUACGUAGGUGCCAUGGACGGCGAAUCGUGCGUGCUGCUGGCACAGGACAGUAGUAUACUUGGAAGAUUUCUACCUUCAGCUCGC